UUGACCUCGAAUCAGGUAGGAAUACCCGCUGAACUUAAGCAUAUCAAUAAGCGGAGGAAAAGAAACCAACAGGGAUUGCCCCAGUAACGGCGAGUGAAGCGGCAACAGCUCAAAUUUGAAAUCUGGCUCCUUGGGGCCCGAGUUGUAAUUUGCAGAGGAUACUUUUGGCGAGGCGCCUUCCGAGUUCCCUGGAACGGGACGCCAUAGAGGGUGAGAGCCCCGUCUGGUUGGAUGCCGAGCCUCUGUAAAGUUCCUUCGACGAGUCGAGUAGUUUGGGAAUGCUGCUCUAAAUGGGAGGUAUAUGUCUUCUAAAGCUAAAUAUAGGCCAGAGACCGAUAGCGCACAAGUAGAGUGAUCGAAAGAUGAAAAGCACUUUGGAAAGAGGGUUAAAAAGCACGUGAAAUUGUUGAAAGGGAAGCGCUUGUGACCAGACGUGGGCCUGUCGGAUCAUCCAGCGUUCUCGCUGGUGCACUCCGGCGGGCUCAGGCCAGCAUCAGCUCGUCCCGGGGGACAAAGGCAGCGGGAAUGUGGCUCCUUCGGGAGUGUUAUAGCCCGCUGUGUAAUGCCCUGGGGCGGGCUGAGGUUCGCGCAUCUGCAU
rnacentral:rRNA from 1 species